UACGUAGGGGGCAAGCGUUGUCCGGAUUUAUUGGGCGUAAAGAGCGUGUAGGCGGCUGGGUAGGUCCGUUGUGAAAACUCGAGGCUCAACCUCGAGACGCCGAUGGAAACCCUCCAGCUAGAGUCCGGAAGAGGAGAGUGGAAUUCCUGGUGUAGCGGUGAAAUGCGCAGAUAUCAGGAAGAACACCCGUGGCGAAGGCGGUUCUCUGGGCAUUACCUGACGCUGAGGAGCGAAAGUGUGGGGAGCGAACAGG
rnacentral:rRNA from 1 species